UACGUAGGGUGCAAGCGUUGUUCGGAAUCAUUGGGCGUUAAGCGCGCGUAGGCGGCCUCAUAAGUCCGUUGUGAAAGUCAAAGGCUCAACCUUUGAAAGCCGAUGGAUACUGUGAGGCUAGAGUCCGGAAGAGGCGAGUGGAAUUCCUGGUGUAGCGGUGAAAUGCGCAGAUAUCAGGAGGAACACCAAUUGCGAAGGCAGCUCGCUGGGACGUUACUGACGCUGAGACGCGAAAGCGUGGGGAGCAAACAGG
rnacentral:rRNA from 1 species